UACAGAGGGUGCAAGCGUUAAUCGGAAUUACUGGGCGUAAAGCGCACGUAGGCGGUUUUUUAAGUCAGAUGUGAAAGCCCCGGGCUCAACCUGGGAAUUGCAUUUGAAACUGGGAAACUAGAGUGUGUGAGAGGGGGGUAGAAUUCCAAGUGUAGCGGUGAAAUGCGUAGAGAUUUGGAGGAAUACCAGUGGCGAAGGUGGCCCCCUGGCACAACACUGACGCUCAGGUGCGAAAGCGUGGGGAGCAAACAGG
rnacentral:rRNA from 1 species